rnacentral:rRNA from 1 species
GUGACUGCGUACCUUUUGUAUAAUGGGUCAGCGACUUAUAUUCUGUAGCAAGGUUAACCGAAUAGGGGAGCCGGAGGGAAACCGAGUCUUAACCGGGCGUUAAGUUGCAGGGUAUAGACCCGAAACCCGGUGAUCUAGCCAUGGGCAGGUUGAAGGUUGGGUAACACUAACUGGAGGACCGAACCGACUAAUGUUGAAAAAUUAGCGGAUGACCUGUGGCUGGGGGUGAAAGGCCAAUCAAACCGGGAGAUAGCUGGUUCUCCCCGAAAGCUAUUUAGGUAGCGCCUCGUGAAUUCAUCUCCGGGGGUAGAGCACUGUUUCGGCUAGGGGGCCAUCCCGGCUUACCAACCCGAUGCAAACUGCGAAUACCGGAGAAUGUUAUCACGGGAGACACACGGCGGGUGCUAACGUCCGUCGUGAAGAGGGAAACAACCCAGACCGCCAGCUAAGGUCCCAAAGUCAUGGUUAAGUGGGAAACGAUGUGGGAAGGCCCAGACAGCCAGGAUGUUGGCUUAGAAGCAGCCAUCAUUUAAAGAAAGCGUAAUAGCUCACUGGUCGAGUCGGCCUGCGCGGAAGAUGUAACGGGGCUAAACCAUGCACCGAAGCUGCGGCAGCGACGCUUAUGCGUUGUUGGGUAGGGGAGCGUUCUGUAAGCCUGUGAAGGUGGCCUGUGAGGGUUGCUGGAGGUAUCAGAAGUGCGAAUGCNACGUAUCACCCAAGACAACUUUACGGAGUUGACGAUUGACGGAGCGAAGCGACGUCAAAGCGUUCAUUAAAGUCGAGUUGGCUUAGGGAUACGUUCGUUGGGUAGGGGAGCGUUCUGUAAGCCUGCGAAGGUGGCCUGUGAGGGUUGCUGGAGGUAUCAGAAGUGCGAAUGCUGACAUNCGCUUAUGCGUUGUUGGGUAGGGGAGCGUUCUGUAAGCCUGUGAAGGUGGCCUGUGAGGGUUGCUGGAGGUAUCAGAAGUGCGAAUGCUGACAUAAGUAACGAUAAAGCGGGUGAAAAGCCCGCUCGCCGGAAGACCAAGGGUUCCUGUCCAACGUUAAUCGGGGCAGGGUGAGUCGACCCCUAAGGCGAGGCCGAAAGGCGUAGUCGAUGGGAAACGGGUUAAUAUUCCCGUACUUGGUGUUACUGCGAAGGGGGGACGGAGAAGGCUAUGUUGGCCGGGCGACGGUUGUCCCGGUUUAAGCGUGUAGGUGUGUGUUCCAGGUAAAUCCGGUUCACUUUAACACUGAGGCGUGAUGACGAGGCACUACGGUGCUGAAGCAACAAAUGCCCUGCUUCCAGGAAAAGCCUCUAAGCAUCAGGUAACAUCAAAUCGUACCCCAAACCGACACAGGUGGUCAGGUAGAGAAUACCAAGGCGCUUGAGAGAACUCGGGUGAAGGAACUAGGCAAAAUGGUGCCGUAACUUCGGGAGAAGGCACGCUGACACGUAGGUGAAGUGAUUUACUCAUGGAGCUGAAGUCAGUCGAAGAUACCAGCUGGCUGCAACUGUUUAUUAAAAACACAGCACUGUGCAAACACGAAAGUGGACGUAUACGGUGUGACGNUAUGUAGGUGAAGCGGUUUACCCGUGGAGCUGAAAUCAGUCGAAGAUACCAGCUGGCUGCAACUGUUUAUUAAAAACACAGCACUGUGCAAACACGAAAGUGGACGUAUACGGUGUGACGCCUGCCCGGUGCCGGAAGGUUAAUUGAUGGGGUCAGCGCAAGCGAAGCUCCUGAUCGAAGCCCCGGUAAACGGCGGCCGUAACUAUAACGGUCCNGACGCCUGCCCGGUGCCGGAAGGUUAAUUGAUGGGGUCAGCGCAAGCGAAGCUCCUGAUCGAAGCCCCGGUAAACGGCGGCCGUAACUAUAACGGUCCUAAGGUAGCGAAAUUCCUUGUCGGGUAAGUUCCGACCUGCACGAAUGGCGUAAUGAUGGCCAGGCUGUCUCCACCCGAGACUCAGUGAAAUUGAACUCGCUGUGAAGAUGCAGUGUACCCGCGGCAAGACGGAAAGACCCCGUGAACCUUUACUAUAGCUUGACACUGAACAUUGAGCCUUGAUGUGUAGGAUAGGUGGGAGGCUUUGAAGUGUGGACGCCAGUCUGCAUGGAGCCGACCUUGAAAUACCACCCUUUAAUGUUUGAUGUUCUAACGUGGACCCGU